UCCGGAGGGGGCAAGCGUUGUUCGGAUUUACUGGGCGGAAAGGGCGCGCAGGCGGCUGCUCAAGUCAGGCGUGAAAGGCCUGGGCUCAACCCGGGAAUUGCGCUGGAGACUGGGCUGGCUUGAGUGCGGGAGAGGAUGGUGGAAUUCCCCAAGUAGAGGUGAAAUUCGUAGAUAUGGGGAGGAACACCGGUGGCGAAGGCGGCCACCUGGCCGGUAACUGACGCUGAGACGCGAAAGCAUGGGGAGCAAACAGG
rnacentral:rRNA from 1 species